rnacentral:lncRNA from 1 species
GAAAAAUGAAGUGAACUUUAAGGCAGAAGAACAGAGGCAGUGAAGGUGUGACAAGAUUAAGACCAAGAUGGAGAAAGACGAAACCAGAGUUUCAGAGCUCUUGAGGACACCACAUGCCCAUGACCCUGCAGAAGAAACUGGAAAAACACCACUUCAACUUGUAAUUGGAUACAAGGUAAAUGUUUACUGUGCUUACCUACCUUGUUGGUCAAAGGCUUGCAGGCUGAGGACUUCCUACCCUGCAAGCAAUUGACUGCUCUGUCAUGUCUGCAGUCCUCCUCUGCCUGAACAUUUUUCUAUUGAUCGUGACUAUGGAUUAAGUCUUAGAGGGUACUGCAAUUGCUUCAUUCCUUAUUCAUCCCACUUAAAUUUUUGUUUGAUGUUUAUGCACUAAGUCUACAUCAAUGUGCUCAAAGUGGCUGCAGAUUUGUGGCAUGCAAUACCUUUUGAAAACAGCAACAACAAAAAAGAAAAUAUAACACAUUCUCUUCCAUGUAUAAGAUUCAUGUAUUGCAGGACUAUCACUGACUGUACCUCAGGUUACUACACUGUUAGUUUUUGGCUUUCCUUUAACAUUACUUGAAACGAUAGGUGCAAA